rnacentral:pre_miRNA from 1 species
AAUAAACUAACUUUUCAUUUUUUAUCUACAGUUUUUGAGUCUUCGUCUUAUUAAAAAUUUUUUUCGAUUGAUAUUUUUUGUUUUUAUUAGAUAAUAAAUCAUGAAUAGUACUGUAUGUGUGACUAAUUUUUUCUAAUUUCUCGAAAAUAUUUCAAAUAAGAUAAAUGGUCAAACGUUGGACACAGAAACC